AUAUUUAUCUAGAGAAUGGUUGGUUUUGGUAAACUUCCAAAGUACCAUCAGGAUCCUACAACAGAAGAGUUAGCUAAAACACUCGACUGUUGGCCUUCAUUGAACUAUUAUAUCACUGGUUGUAAAUAUCACGUAACUUUUAUAGACUUUACACCCAUUCAAGAUUGGUGUAAACACAUGUCAUACAAGAGGUUUGCGGAAGCAAUUAUCAUGGCCUCCAAGAAAUAUAAAAUUGCCUACAAUAAGAAACGUUCUGGAUGGGCAGAUGAUAUUUUUAAGUGGGAACAUACAAUUUGGUCUGGUCUUCCAAUGGACUUAAAAGGGGUUAAUACAAGCUACUUCAUUCUACAAGCUAUGGUUAUGUGGGGGAGUGGUAGACGAAUG
rnacentral:misc_RNA from 1 species